rnacentral:rRNA from 1 species
AUUGAACGCUGGCGGCAGGCCUAACACAUGCAAGUCGAACGAGUGGCGGACGGGUGAGUAAUGUCUGGGAAACUGCCCGAUGGAGGGGGAUAACUACUGGAAACGGUAGCUAAUACCGCAUACCAUCGGAUGUGCCCAGAUGGGAUUAGCUAGUAGGUGGGGUAAAGGCUCACCUAGGCGACGGUCCCUAGCUGGUCUGAGAGGAUGACCCGCCAAACUGGGAACGGGACAAGGGCCAGAACCCUACGGGAGGCAGGAGGGGGGAAUUGUGGACAAUGGGGGGAAGGCUGAUGGAGCCAUUGCGGGUUGAAUAAGAAGGCCUUUGGGUUGGAAAGUACUUUCAGCGGGGAGGCGUUACCCGCAGAAGAAGCACCGGCUAACUCCGUGCCAGCAGCCGCGGUAAUAC